rnacentral:rRNA from 1 species
CAGCUUAGUAUGAUUCACUCCCCCUCCCACUAACAACCAUGAACCCCUCACCACCACUGAGUGAUUCCAUAAUUAUAUGGUAAACACCAUGCUAGGACUAGUAACAAGAAUUUAUAAUUCUCCAAAGUGUAAGCAUAAACCAGAAUGGACGCCCCACUGGUAAUUAACGAAAAUGAAUCAACUGCAACAACAUCAAAACAAGAAAAUACUGCAACCAACUCCGUUAACCUAACACUAGAGCACUUCGGGAAAGAUUAACAGACGGGGAAGGAACUCGGCAAACUCCAACCCCGCCUGUUUACCAAAAACAUCGCCUCUUGACUCCAUAAGAGGUCCAGCCUGCCCAGUGACAAGUUCAACGGCCGCGGUACCCUAACCGUGCAAAGGUAGCAUAAUCACCUGUUCUUUAAAUGAGGACUCGUAUCAACGGCACCACGAGGGUUGCACUGUCUCCCCCCUCUAAUCAGUGAAACUGAUCUCCCCGUGAAGAAGCGGGGGUACAACUAUAAGACGAGAAGACCCCAUGGAGCUUAAAACCCAACGGCAACUCAACCCCACGCACUUCCCCGCACCAAGAGAGCAUGCCUAACGGUUUUAGGUUGGGGCGACCACGGAGUAAAAACCAACCUCCAUGACGAAAAGAACUAAAUCUUUAUCCCAGAGCCACCCCUCCAAGAAUUAGAACACUAACGGACAAUGACCCGACUAUCGACCAACGAACCAAGUUACCCUGGGGAUAACAGCGCAAUCUACUUCAAGAGCCCCUAUCGACAAGUAGGCUUACGACCUCGAUGUUGGAUCAGGGUACCCCAGAGGUGCAGCCG